rnacentral:lncRNA from 1 species
AGCAUACAGUGAGCCUGGCAGAAGACAUUGUGGAGGUACAAUCAAUUAAAUCUUCACCUCUUUUUUACCUUUGGUUAUCAUUUGGUCAUUUCACUCAACACGCCUUUACUUUUCCAAUCUGUUCAACAGAAUUGACAGGUCCGACCUUUAUUUUGCCACCUCCACCACAGCACCCAGCAACAUUUUUCAACUCCAUCGAUGCCGGUAAAUACUCUUCAAUUGCCAAUUGCUUUGUUCAUUGUUUUGGACAAAAGUGCCAGUUAAGUGUAAUGUCAUACCAUUGCAGUAAUCAUUUCACUAAACAUGCCUUUACUUUUCCAAUCUGUUCAACAGAGUUGACCACCGUUACUGCUCUGCCAGUAGCACCACCGCUCUUCCGCUCCAGCCAUGCCGAGUUAACAAGUCAGACCACCACUCCUCCGUCAACUUCGCCAACAUCUCUGCCAGUACCACCCCAGCAAGGUAGAACUGCAUUUUCAUUAAUCUGGCGCCAAUAUUAAGGGAGAAACAAGCCAUGAAGGCCUCAUUAUGUGGGAAGGACAUUCAUCCCUGAUUAAGUCAGGCAAUUUCAGUCUCAACUUCUUUACAUUACAUACACUUUUUGUGCCAUACCAAUUCUAAUAUAUAUUUUUUUGUUCAUAGAUUAUUACAGACUUGUUCUGCAGCACCUCCGCACAAUUGAGGAGGAGCUGAAGGAGGUGAAGCAGCAGGUGGCGGUCAACACAGCCAUGAUACAGAGACUAGGUGGUGGUGGUGUGGCAGAUCUCGGCCUUGUGGAAGACACCAACAUGCCAUUGAGCAAUGCCGAGGACCUGGACGAGCUGGAGAGGCGGCUUAU